UGCAAUAUAAUAUUUUGCAACAUUACAAAUGCAAGUUUUCUGAGAGGUUUCUGAGACUUCUUCAUUUAAUAAAUGAGCAUCGUAUAUGGCUGCGAUUGGAAAACACUAGAAAUGCUUUGAAGCAUUUGACCUAACCUAAUCUAACCGUAUAUUGCCGCGAAAUGAUUGCCGCAGACACCGGGACGCCGAGAGCCGGGACAGUGCAGUGUGCAGUAUAUUAGUGCAGUAUAUCUUUGUCUUCAAUAAACGCAUUUUUGUUUGCUGAAGAUAUUUUUGUCUCACGUAAAAGGUAUGUACAAUGCUUAUAAUUAAUAUAUAAAAAUACGAAAACGAUAAGUCACAUGAAAUAUCGAUAGCUUAAUAGAUACGAAGAAAAUACAUAUUUUGUGUUCAAAAGAGGUCUAUUUUGGCACUAUAGUGGAAUAUAUAGAAAACGUCUGGUGAUUUUGAUUAGUUGAUUGUGGUGCACGUCAAAGAAAUUUAUCGUUUAAAAGAGAUUGAAGAUGUCGCGCUUUACAAUAGCGCUUUUUGACGAUGGACUUCAGUUGGUGCCAUCAUGGUGGUUAUUUGACCAUAAAACAAUGUGUCACUGGCCGCCUUACACGAGCGAAAAGAAAAUU